UGUGUGUGUGUGUCCGUGUGUGACUUCCCAGCCAAUUACCACAUCUCUCAGACAGACUGAGACUGCCUAGGCAUUGCCAGCCAAUCAGAGACGGGUUGCGCACUGCCGGGCCGGAGGUGGUUGCUAUGGUAACCAGGAGGCCUGUUUGCAUGGUGGCUGAUGGAAGAGUGAUGGAUUACAGUAAUGGGAUGGAGGGAAGGACGGACAGAGGAAGAUAGGGAAGAAGAUGUCCGUCCAUCUGUCCUUGGAGCAGAGAGGAGAUGCAGCCUCACCUUUCUGCCUCCUCAGCAGCCUGCAGAAUGAAACACGCUCAGAGAAGAACGAUGCACUUCCAAAAAGUCACAUUCAAUCUUACGACUGUGCUAAUUUGUGUUGGUAAAAAUCUACAUGUGAAAAUUCAA